GCCUUAGUGGUGUAGUGGUCAGCACGCUGGACUUGUAUUCCAGAGGUUCGUGAAAAUGUUAAGGAU
rnacentral:tRNA from 1 species